rnacentral:rRNA from 1 species
UACGUAGGGGGCAAGCGUUGUCCGGAUUUAUUGGGCGUAAAGAGCGUGUAGGCGGCCAGGUAGGUCCGCUGUGAAAACUCGAGGCUCAACCUCGAGAUGUCGGCGGAAACCAUCUGGCUAGAGUCCGGAAGAGGAGAGUGGAAUUCCUGGUGUAGCGGUGAAAUGCGCAGAUAUCAGGAGGAACACCGGUGGCGAAGGCGGCGACCUGGUCCUAUACUGACACUCAUACACGAAAGCGUGGGGAUCAAACAGG